GGGUUAGGGUUCAAGCGGGGUGCCGGGUUUCGCAGCUUGUGGAUGGGCUGAAAGAGCACGGGCUCACGCUGCAGAAUUUCGCGUCGAUUCGGGAGCAGCAAGUCGGCGGGAUCGUGCAGGUUGGUGCACACGGCACUGGCGCAAGCUUGCCUCCCAUUGAUGAGCAGAUUGUUAGCAUGAAACUGGUGACCCCUGCUAAGGGAGUUAUAGAGGUUUCGAAAGAAAGAGAUCCUGAGCUGUUUUACCUAGCUCGUUGUGGUCUAGGUGGCCUUGGUGUUGUUGCAGAAGUAACCAUUCAAUGUGUUGAUAGACAUGAGCUUGUUGAGCACACAUUCGC
rnacentral:misc_RNA from 1 species